GAUGAACGCUGGCGGCGUGCCUAAUACAUGCCAGUCGAGCGAACGGACGAGAAGCUUGCUUCUCUGAUGUUAGCGGCGGACGGGUGAGUAACACGUGGAUAACCUACCUAUAAGACUGGGAUAACUUCGGGAAACCGUAGCUAAUACCGGAUAAUAUUUUGAACCGCAUGGUUCAAAAGUGAAAGACGGCCUUGCUGUCACUUAUAGAUGGAUCCGCGCUGCAUUAGCUAGUUGGUAAGGUAACGGCUUACCAAGGCAACGAUGCAUAGCCGACCUGAGAGGGUGAUCGGCCACACUGGAACUGAGACACGGUCCAGACUCCUACGGGAGGCAGCAGUAGGGAAUCUUCCGCAAUGGGCGAAAGCCUGACGGAGCAACGCCGCGUGAGUGAUGAAGGUCUUCGGAUCGUAAAACUCUGUUAUUAGGGAAGAACAUAUGUGUAAGUAACUGUGCACAUCUUGACGGUACCUAAUCAGAAAGCCACGGCUAACUACGUG
rnacentral:rRNA from 1 species